AUUGAACGCUGGCGGCAUGCUUUACACAUGCAAGUCGAACGGCAGCGCGGGCUUCGGCCUGGCGGCGAGUGGCGAACGGGUGAGUAAUGCAUCGGAACGUGCCCAGUAGUGGGGGAUAGCCCGGCGAAGGCGGAUUUAAUCCCCAAAAGGACCUGAGGUUGAAAGGGGGGGACCGAAAGGCCUCGGCCUUUUGGACGGCCCGAUGUCGGAUUAGCUAGUUGGUGGGGUAAAGGCUUACCAAGGCGACGAUCCGUAGCUGGUCUGAGAGGACGACCAGCCACACUGGGACUGAGACACGGCCCAGACUCCUACGGGAGGCAGCAGUGGGGAAUUUUGGACAAUGGGGGCAACCCUGAUCCAGCCAUGCCGCGUGCGGGAAGAAGGCCUUCGGGUUGUAAACCGCUUUUGUUCGGGAAGAAAUCCUCUGGGCUAAUACCCCGGGGGGAUGACGGUACCGGAAGAAUAAGCACCGGCUAACUACGUG
rnacentral:rRNA from 1 species